ACGGCAGACUGGACGGUCGCGGGCAUAAGGAGUAAUCCUGUGCGUGAGGAAAGUCCGAGCUCCAUAGGGCAGGGUGCAAGGUAACACCUUGUGAAGGCAACUUUAAGGAAAGUGCAACAGAAAUAUACCGCCUGCAAUAUCGCAGGUAAGGGUGGAAAAGUGAGGUAAGAGCUCACUCGGGGUCUGGCGACUGACCCUUGCUGUAAACCCCAUCCGGAGCAACACCUGAAUGAAAGGCUAAGCCGGCCCGGCAUCUUUCGAGAAGGUGGCUUGAGCCGCAUAGUGAUAUGCGGCUUAGAUAGAUGACCGUCUUAAAAGACAGAACUCGGCUUACAGGUCUGCCGCAUAA
rnacentral:RNase_P_RNA from 1 species